rnacentral:rRNA from 1 species
CGUAGGGUGCGAGCGUUAAUCGGAAUUACUGGGCGUGAAGCGUGCGCAGGCGGUUAUAUAAGACAGAUGUGAAAUCCCCGGGCUCAACCUGGGAACUGCAUUUGUGACUGUAUAGCUAGAGUACGGCAGAGGGGGAUGGAAUUCCGCGUGUAGCAGUGAAAUGCGUAGAUAUGCGGAGGAACACCGAUGGCGAAGGCAAUCCCCUGGGCCUGUACUGACGCUCAUGCACGAAAGCGUGGGGAGCAAACAGGAUUAGAUACCCUGGUAGUCCACGCCCUAAACGAUGUCAACUGGUUGUUGGGUCUUCACUGACUCAGUAACGAAGCUAACGCGUGAAGUUGACCGCCUGGGGAGUACGGCCGCAAGGUUG